rnacentral:rRNA from 1 species
CCCUUAGAUGUUCUGGGCCGCACACGCGCUACACUGAAGGAGGCAGCGUGUACUCCUGGAUCGAAAGAUUUGGGUAACCCGCGAAUCUCCUUCGUGCUAGGGAUUGAGGUUUGCAAUUAUCCUUCAUGAACGAGGAAUUCCCAGUAAGUGCAAGUCAUAAGCUUGCGCUGACUACGUCCCUGCCCUUUGUACACACCGCCUGUCGCUACUACCGAUUGAAUGAUUUAGUGAGGACUUCGGACUGGGACCGAUGCGGCUUUCGGGCUGCGUCGGUAUUCUGGAAAGAUGUCCAAACUGUAUCAUUUAGAGGAAGUAAAAGUCGUANCA